rnacentral:rRNA from 1 species
GAUGAACGCUGGCGGCGCGCCUAACACAUGCAAGUCGAACGAUUAAAGCACCUUCGGGUGUGUAUCACGUGGCGAACGGCUGAGUAACACGUGGGCAACCUGCCCCUUUCAUUGUGAUAGCCACGGGAAACCGUGGAUCAUAUCGCAUACUUCGACACCUCCGCCUUGAUGACUCGAGAAAACUCCGGCGGAGGGGGAUGGGCCCGCGGCCUGUUAGCUUGUUGGUGGGGUAACGGCCUACCAAGGCAAUGAUGGGUAGCUGGGUUGAGAGAGCGACCCGCCAGAUUGGGACUGAGACACGGCCCAGACUCCUACGGGAGGCAGCAGUGGGGAAUAUUGCACAAUGGGCGGAAGCCUGAUGCAGCGACGCCGCGUGCGGGAUGACGGCCUUCGGGUUGUAAACCGCUUUCAGCAGGGACGAGGCGAAAGUGACGGUACCGGCAGAAGAAGCCCCGGCUAACUACGUG